GCUAACUUCUUAAAAGCUUAAUAUUUCAGAAGGUAGAAUACCUGGAUCCUUCAUACUUUGUAUAUAGAUGCCUUAUGUUAUGAAGUUUCCGUCUGUCAUAUGUCCAUCGACCUUGACCUCAUUUUCAUGGUUCAGUGACUACUUGAAAAAAGUUAAGAUUUUUAGUAUUCUUAAUUUCUCUCUUAUUAUGAGUAAUAGGAUAACUAUAUUUGGUAUGUGCGUACCUUGCAAGGUCUUCAUGCCCGUCAGACAGUUUUCAUUCAGAACCCUUGCAACAACUCUUUGAUGGGUCCGUAGGUGGCCUGUUGCAAGGCUAAAUUUCUGUCCUUAUCCAAUAUACCCUCAUUUUCCCGUGGCAGUCCAAAUUUCCCCGACGGCCUCUAUUACAGGACCUACCUAUUGUAUUUAUUGUAAACUUGUUCUCGUCCUGAACAUGCAUGAAAUAUUUGCCACUGGACGUUAAGCAACCAACAAUCAAUCAAUCAAUCAAUGAUAAGUUUUUGUUUUUGGUCUAUUUUUCUAAUACUUUCAGCAAUAGGUCAACUAUAUUUGGAUUAUGGAAUGAUUGUAAGGUGUACAUGUCUAACUGGCAGGUGUCAUCUGACCUUGACCUCAUUUUCAUGGUUCAGUGGUCAAAGUUAAGUUUUUUAGUUUUGGUCCUUUUUUUCUUAUACUAUAUGCAAUAGGUGAACUAUAUUUGGUGUAUGGAAAUAUUUUAGGAUAUACAUGUUUGUCUCGCAGGUUUUAUCUGACCUUGUCCUGAUUUUUACGGUUCAUUGCUCAGUGUUUAAAUUUGGUGUUUUGGUCUAUUUUUGUUCAACUAUAAGCAAUAGGUCAACUAUAUUUGGUGUAUGGAAUGUUUAUAAGGUGUUUAUGUCUGUCCGCCAGGUAUCAUAUGACCUUAACCCUUGUACAUGGCUCAUUGGUCAAUGUUAAGUUUUAAUGCUGAACUUUGUUUCUUAGAAAAUAUAAGCAAUAGGUCAACUAUAUUUGGUGUAUGGAAUGAGUGUAAGGCGUAUCUGUCUGUCUGGCAGGGUUCAUAUGACCUUGACCUUAUUUUCAUGGUUCAUAGGUUAAUGUUAGUUUUUUUUUUCUUUUUUUAUUUUUUUUUAAGAUACUAUAUGGAAUUGGUGAAAUAUAUUUGGUUUAUGUAAUUAAUAUAAGAAUUAAGAUUUAUACAUCUGACUGGCUGGUGACAUCUGACCUUGACCUUAUUUUCAUAGAUCAUUGGUCAAUGUUUAUUAUUUAAAGUUUAUCCAAUUUCUCAGUUACAAGAAGGGAUUAGUCAAUUAUAUCAUGUAUUGAAUAAUUAUAAGGUGUAAUUCAUUUUUAUAUUCAUUUCAUUUUUUUUUAAUCAGAAAUGACUUUGAAUAUUGAAUAUAAGAAUCAUUUUAUAACAAUAAUGAAAAUAUAUUUAAAUUAAACCAUCUGUGAUAAUUACUGAACAAUGAUUAACUGAAACAUUGGAAGGUGCGGAAAUGUUAAAACAAGCUCACUCAUGCAUGAACAUUUGUCCUGUAAUACAGGGCAUCACAACCAUAUUAAUAGGAUUUAUUGUCUGAAUAUAUUAAAAUAUAAAUAUUCUUCUUGUAUUAAAUUCUAACAAUCAUA